UACAUUAUACAUACACAACAACAGAGAGGAGAUCGAAAGCAUUCUCACAGAUUUUUCAUCUUCAAUAUCAAUAAAAAAGGUUAGUCAACCAUGAUCUUAGCCAAUCAUGUUUUCUGCUAUGGCUUUUUUAUGCUUCUUUUCUUCAGUUUCAUUGUAUUCUUUCUCCUGAUUAGGUUUUAUGUGUAUUUUAUACAUCAGAUCUUGAGAAAUUGAAAGGAAAAGUUACAAUAAUGGAAAGAGGAGGACAAAGUGAAGGAGAAAGCGAGAAAGGGAAAGCAAUCAAAUUAUCGGUAUGUCAUGUCAUACAAUAUGUUUAUUACAACUAAUGUUGACUUGGAUGAUUGUCCAAUAUUUAAUCCUUAAAAUACAAUAUGUAUGUAUAAUUUUAAUAUAUAUAUAAAAAGGAAGAAACUCAACUCUAUCUUAAAAGAAGAAACCAACGUGUUUUUUCUCCACUGAGACACUAAAAUAAAUUUUUUCCAGAAAAGAGAAACUCUAUUCAACUACAGAGUACUGCAACUAUAUUCUACAACUGAUCAGGU
rnacentral:lncRNA from 1 species